UACAGAGGGUGCGAGCGUUGUUCGGAAUUACUGGGCGUAAAGGGCGCGUAGGCGGGGAGGUAAGUCGGGUGUGAAAUCCCUCGGCCCAACCGAGGAACUGCGCCCGAGACUGCUUCUCUUGAGUCCCGGAGAGGAAGAUGGAAUUCCCGGUGUAGCGGUGAAAUGUGUAGAGAUCGGGAGGAACACCGGUGGCGAAGGCGGUCUUCUGGACGGUGACUGACGCUGAGGCGCGAAAGCGUGGGGAGCAAACGGG
rnacentral:rRNA from 1 species